UACGAAGGGGGCUAGCGUUGCUCGGAAUUACUGGGCGUAAAGCGCACGUAGGCGGAUUGUUAAGUCGGGGGUGAAAUCCUGGAGCUCAACUCCAGAACUGCCUUCGAUACUGGCGAUCUCGAGUUCGGGAGAGGUGAGUGGAACUGCGAGUGUAGAGGUGAAAUUCGUAGAUAUUCGCAAGAACACCAGUGGCGAAGGCGGCUCACUGGCCCGGAUACUGACGCUGAGGCACGAAAGCGUGGGGAGCAAACAGGG
rnacentral:rRNA from 1 species